AAAUAAGAGAAGAAAGCGUAAUACGGGAUCACUAGGAUCGGUAGACGAAGACGAACGUGAAAGAAUACGAAAAUUCUUUUAGAAAUAAAAGAGUGUUCGAAUGACCAGUAUUUAACUGGGGAGAACCCUCUGAACUUAAGCAUAUCAUUAAGAGGAGGAAAAGAAACCAACUGGGAUUCUGUUAGUAGUGGCGAAUGAACACGGAAAAGUCCAAAUGGUAAAGUCUUUUUAAGACAGUUGUAAUGGAGUAGUUUAAAACAUGAUGGAAAGCAUGGCCAGAGUGGGUGAUAGCCCCAGAGAAGAAAAAAAGAAAAAGAGUAGUGCUGUUUGGUAGUGCAGUAUGAAAUGGAGGUAGAAACUUCAAAGACUAAAUACGAGACCGAUACCGAUAGAGAAGAAGUAGUGCGAACGAAAGUUGAAAAUAUCUCAUAAGAGAGUGAAAAGUGAAAGUAUGCGCGAGUAAGCCGAGGAAGUCGGACCCGUAUUGAAACACGGACCAAGGAGACUAUAGAUACAGCGAGGGGAAAUGAGGAGAAACAUAGAACCGAAAGAAAUUGAGUAGUUGUAUCGAUAGGACCCGAAAGGUAGUGAACUAUGCCUGCCCUGCUAGAAGCCGCGGAAAACCGUGGUAGAAGAGCUAAGCCGUAUUGAUGUUCAACUCAUUGGCAAGAGGUGGGUAUAGGGGCGAAAGACCAAUCGAACUACCUGGUAGCUGGUUCCAGCCGAAAUGUCUCUCAGGACAGCGGUACUUAAUAAAAACAGGAAGAUGUUGUAGAGAGGAUGUGGACAAGGUCAACAAACUCCGAAUGCGUCGUUAUGGCGAGCGUGAGCCGGCAUAAUAGUCUGAAAAAAGUACUAGUGGGCGCUUUGUGGUAAGCAUGGGGCGCAAAAAGGGAUGAACCUAGAAAAAUGGUAAGGUGCCAAAAAGAGAGCAAAGAGAAAAAGUGUUAGUUAGAUUGAGACAGUAGGGCGGUGGCCAUGGAGGUCGGCAUCCGCUAAGAAACGUGUUAAAACGUACCUACCGAAUCUAAGAAUACUGAAAAUGGAUGGCGCUAAUCUCUCGACCGAGCCAUUAAAGAUGAAGUCAGGUAGGCUGGCAUGAGAAUUCUGAAGAAGAUAUAUUGUGAAAUAUAUUGGAGGAAUGAAUCAGAGCAGAUCUUGGAAGUAGUAGCAUCAUAAAUAUGUGCUGAAAGGAGGCGGGUUUGUCCUUUUUAUAGAAGGAAGUGAUACGAUCCUAAGAAAAGGGAAAAAAGGUAAAUAAUCCAAAAGGGUUUACUCUGAGUGGUGACACGAGAAUGACACUAUCGAGAAAAGCAUUAGUGUAAAUUUGCUGAUGAGAAAAAAAUCUCUGGAGAGUCAUACGAAGAAGGAGAAAAAGAUAGUCGAUGAAAAAGAAGAGUAAAAAUCGUACCGAACCGCAACAGGACUCCAGGGUGAGUAGCCCACAGCAUAACGUAUUGCAAACAAGGGAAAUCGGCAAAAUGGAUGAAAAACUUAGGGAAAAUCAUUGGCUCUAGCAUGCUAGAACUGGGCUAACAAGGGGAAUCUGACUGUUUAAUAAAAACAUAGCUUUGUGAGAACGCAAAGUGAAUUCUGCCCAGUGCUUGGGACGUUAAGGAAGUAAUUUAAAGUACGCACCUGUAAACGGCGGGAGUAACUAUGACUCUCUUAAGGUAGCCAAAUGCCUCGUCGCUUAAUUAGCGACGCGCAUGAAUGGAGCAACGAGAUUCCCACUGUCCCUGUUUGCAUGUUUGCGAACCUACAGCCAAGGGAACGGGCUUGGGAUAAGCAGCGGGGAAAGAAGACCCUGUUGAGCUUGACUCUAGCGAAGCAUAGACCUCUGUUCUAAUGUCGUAGCGAGGUGGGAGAAAUGUGUGAGACCACUGACAUAAGUAGCGGGGGAUCUUAUAAAGCUUGGUGGGGAGUUUGGCUGGGGCGGCACGACUACUAAAAAAUAACGUAGACGUCCAAAGGUGAGCUCAGAGGGGAUGGAAACCACUCAGAGAAUACAAGGGUAAAAGCUUGCUUUAGCAAUUAAUAGAAAUUAAUUGUACUGGAAACAGGGGCCUAGAGAUCCUUUACGAAACUAAGCGUAAAGGUGACAGAAAAGUUACCACAGGGAUAACUGGCUUGUGGCGGCCGAGCGUCCAUAGCGACGCCGCUUUUUGAUUCUUCGAUGUCGGCUCUUCCGAGCAUGGUGGAGUAUCAGCCACCAAGUGUGUGAUUGUUCACCAACUAACAGGGAACGUGAGCUGGGUUUAGACCGUCGCGAGACAGGUUAGUUUUACCCUACUGCAUAGUGUAGGAGAGUAGGCCGAGGUAGUACGAGAGGAAGUGUCGGUCAGGACCACUGGUGUAGCUCUCAUCUGUUAAGGUGCGGGGCGUAGCUACGUCCUUCUAGUAAUAGCUGAAAGCCUCUAAGCUAGAAUUAGUACUUGACUACAUGGUGGCAUGAAGACUACAUGCACGGGGAUUAGAACUGUACGUUAUGAGCUUUUUGCGAGUAAUUGAGGUUACUAAUAUUAUCCUCUUUUUUAG
rnacentral:rRNA from 1 species